rnacentral:snoRNA from 1 species
UCCCUCUCAGGGUCACACCUGGAGAGUUUCCAGUAUUCUACCAGUCACAACUAUAGGAGGGAGAGUCAAGCAGAGGCAUACCCGUUCCAUUCUUAGCUUGGGCAGUGGCUAGUGAGUGGAAGACAAUCUGCUACAAGU